rnacentral:sRNA from 1 species
CACCAUACGUGUAUGUCCACCUUGUUCUGCACCUUUCCACCAACCCUGGAUCAGUUUGGAUGACCCUGUGUUUAGAUUUGACUUCAUUCUGAGAACCUUUCAAAACGGGAGUAUAGCAUUUGUUUACGAGCAGGAGGAAGCUUCUCUGAUGAAGGCUGAGUGGGGCAAUGAUCUAUGAAAACUCAGGGUGCUCUUAAUCAGGCUGUGCGGAAACAACAUCCUUUGGUAUUUACCCAAAGAAGAUCAACAGCUUCCUCCGCACCGAGUCUGCACAGGAAUGCAGCAGACAAUGCCUUCAUGUUGUCUAGCCUUGAACUCUGAGUUUCAAGAUGACAUGCGGAGCAUUUUUCAAGAUUAUCCUCUAGGCUUAUGAAUCAAGAUUGGCCUUGGAGUUGAUUCUGAAAGACAUCAAAGAAAGGAAACCUCAACUGAAGAUUCGAAACUAGGUCUACCCAACGCUAGAGACUGUUAGGAGAGCAAUGCAUAGGAUGCAUGACCGAAAUCACCUGCUAAGUGGCAUUUACUGCUCACUAAUAAACCAAAAGACCAUUUGUUA